UACGGGGGGAGCAAGCGUUGUUCGGAUUUACUGGGCGUAAAGGGCGCGUAGGCGGCGCGUCAAGUCACUUGUGAAAUCUCUGGGCUCAACCCAGAACGGUCAAGUGAUACUGUCGUGCUAGAGUGCGGAAGGGGCAACUGGAAUUCUUGGUGUAGCGGUGAAAUGCGUAGAUAUCAAGAGGAACACCUGCGGCGAAGGCGGGUUGCUGGGCCGACACUGACGCUGAGGCGCGAAAGCUAGGGGAGCGAACGGG
rnacentral:rRNA from 1 species